rnacentral:lncRNA from 1 species
AUAUAUAUAUGGUGGCUAACUUACGAGUACAAGAAAUAAGAGAGGGAAGAUCUACGCAUAACGGACAUGAACUACUCAUAAUCAAAGGAAUGAUCCUGUACACCUACCUACGCCAGACAUAACCCCACCCUGUCCUCGAUCGGAGAAGGAACUCACGAAAGAGACAGUCACGGUUACGCACACAGUUGGCAUAUUUUAAUUAAGUUAACUUCAAGUUAUCUAGAACCAGUGUUAAACAAAAUAUCCACGUUGCCACAUAACCGCGGGCACGACUUUCCGAAAAGAUUUAACCCUGCAGGGGUGCUCCAACUAGUCCAUCACAAAUUACCACAAGCCGCAUAGAAAUCCUCAAUCACGAAGCUCGCGAUCUCGUCGGAUUCCCUAGUGGAAAACCUCAACUCUGAGAUUACCCAAAGCAUCACCGGAAUCCCGAUGCACAAGAUAUUCCGUCAAAGGUAAAACUAAUCCAGCAAGGCCACCCGACGUGUCGACGAUCCCGAUAGGAGUCGCGUACCUCGUUCUCAGGACACGAUGGAUAAGCGACGCGUACGGUGGCCUGAUAGAAAUCACCCAAGUUGCCCUGGGUUGGCCCCGCACAUUGCUCUGGGUUGGACCAACACUCAUGGGGAGCACUGGCCCGGGGGUUGAUUAAAUUUCCUCUGGUUAAUUACUCCCUAUGCAGUUUAUUAGUUAUUAGGCAAAUGUAGUACCAAAGUUGGACCCUGCCAGACCAGCUUUAAUCUAAAACGAAUUAUCAAGGGGGUCCCCAUAACAACCCCGAUCGUGUUAGGAGUGCUCAUUUAUGGAACAUAACACCGGUAGCCGAAACUAAGGGGGCAAAGGUGGAACAAAACACCAGGCUAGAAAAGGCCGAGCCUUCCACCUUUUACCAAGUAUAUAGGUGCAUUAAAUUAAAUAGCAUGUAAUAGGGUGAUAUAACAAGGAACCCAUGUUUUCACAUGGAAGCAUCUGCACCUGCAACUAGCAACGCUAACAACAAGGUUAAGCACGCAGUAACAUAGCCAAUCAGUGGUUUGCUAGGUCGAACAGGUUUAAGGUUAUCAUGGCAUUGUUGAGAGGUUGAUAUUUAACAUGUGGUUGGCAACGAGACAUAAUCGAUAGCAUCGAAAUAACUAGCAUGGCAAUGAUAGUAAUGGUAUCUGGGGAAAUGGUCAUCUUGCCUGAGAUCCCGCUUGGAAGAAGAAUGACUCCGGGAAGCAGACAAACCAACGUAGUCGAAUGGUUCCCACAUUCCGACACGCUUGCGGAACUCUAUCGAGACGGAGCAAACCAAAAACAACAUCAACACAGAUAUUCACCACACGAUGCACAACAUGAUGCAUUACCUACUAUGAUGCAUGAUCAGUUCAAUGAUGCAAGGGAUGCCAUGGCAAUUCACCUCAGACAAACACUACACAUUAAGUGAAGCUCGAUAGGCGACGGGUUGCAUAUCGACCAAACUCCACGAUUAUUUAUUUAAUUCAGUCUCUAUUAUUUAACACGCAAUAUUUAAUUGUUGUUAUCAUGGCAAGGGGUGAAGCGGUGAUCCUACAUAGCAUCCUAGUCGAUUAACACGCGGAACAUAGAGCGGAGCUACGGCACAAGAGGCAUGCAACACAAGAUUUAUAUGCCAUGAAUGCGUCAUGCAUGCAAGUUACAACAUCACGGCAAGAAGAGAAGGAAACAUGUGUCGCCACGGCGAGUGAGAGGGAACCAUGGCGGCAGGACGGAUACGAUGCCACUGCAACGUACCUAUCCCGAUACUCAACGAGAUAUCGGUGCCACGAUCUGGAAGCGUGUGCGGAAACGCUAAAUAAGAAUGGGGUGAUCCCGUAUAUCGGGUUCCCAUGUGUCGGGGCACAACAAAAGUGAGACAACAUGCAACGGGCAACAUACGGUGCAACAUACAUACAUCUCGUACAUCAUAUGCAUUCGGUACACGACACGUUCCAACGUAUACCUUUGAAGCGUGCGUACGGGCGGAUCGGUUCGUUGCGGCAAAGGAGAACAUAGGUCGGUGUGGUCGUCGUGGUCGUCGUGGUACUCGGGUCUCGUCGAUGGUAGUCGUACACUUGGCGUCGGUAGACGGGUCUUCGGCGACGGUAGUCGAACACGGUUCCGUAGAUGGUUCGGGGUCGUCGAGGACGUCGUGGGAGUAGUGGUACUCGUGAUCUUGUCGACGGGCCACAGUGGCAGGGAUGGUGCACGCGGUCUUCGGCGACGGACACCAGCAAUAGCAGCAACAACUAGCAACUAACAACAAGCUUCGGCAGGUAGGCAACCAAGCAGCAGCUAACAGCAACGGCAUCUAGCAGGUAGGCAAGCUAGCAGGAACAACAGCCAACAGCUACAGCAACUAACAAUAGCAGCAGCCGACAACAAGAGCAUUCAGCAGCGAGCAUCAGGCUUCGCAGCAGCAACAAACAGCAGCAGGCCAUCAGCAAGCAAGCUAGCAGCAUCAGCACAACAACAAGCAACAGCUACGGCGGCGGCAGCACAAGCAACAGCAACGGCGCAUCAGCUAGCAAGCAGCAAGAGCAACAACAAACGCAACGGCAACAAGCAUGCAUGCAGCGUCACCAGCCUGGCAGUCAACAACUUCGGCAAAAGCAGCAGGGCAGCAAGAGCAUGCACGGCAACAGCAGCAACAAAUCGGGCAGGGGAAACGGCCGGCCAUGGCGGCUGCAGAGACCGGCGGCGAGAGGCGCAGGCACGGGGAGGCGAGCACGCCGCUGCUGAGGCCGGCCGACGGACGCGGGGAACGGCGUGCCGAGGCGGAGCAGGUGACGCAGCGAGACGGCACAACGACGACGGGAGGCGCGGCCGGGCCGAGGGCGGCACGCGGCGGCUGAGAGCACGGCGGCGGGGCUGCCGGAGGGCGCAGGCGGCGGCCACGGCGGGGGCCGGCGAGGUCUCGGGCAAGGCAGGGGCUGCUCGUGCGAAGGCAGGAGGAAGGGGCGACGGCCAUGGUGCGCGGGGCGAGGUCCGAGGCCAUGGAGACGAUGUAGAGGGGCGAGGCGGCCAGCGGCGGCGUCCAAGAGGAGCGAGGCGGCCGGCGACGCUGGCAGGAAGAUGGGAAUCGGGAGGGAGAGAGGGGAUCGCACAGGACGAGACGGGAGGCGAGGGGAACGGCUGGACGAGGGGAGAAGACGCCGGGGAAGCGUCGCUAGGUCAGGGGGAGCUGCUGGGCCUGGGCCGGCUGGCUUGGGCAGGCUCCCUCUUUCCUAUUUGGUUUUUUUUUCGGUUUCUUCCUUUUUUUUAAAGAAAAACAGAAACUCACAAAGAAAAGGUUUUAACAGAAAAAUUAAAAUAAAUAAAAUACCUUUUAAACUACUUUAAAACAUACCCCACUAUAAGAGAUAGUUUUGGGCUUUUUUUUAAAAGAAAUAAAAGUGAAACCUUUUUCUUAAGAAUUAAAAUUUAAAUAAAACCCUUUCACAAAAGAAUAAAAUUUAAACCCCUUUUGACAAGAGAAUAAAAUAAAACCUCUUUUAUUUAAAGAGUAAACUAAAAGCUCUUAAAAGAAGAAAAGGAAAUGAGACUGUUUGAAAUAAAACAAAAGGAGAAACAAAAGAAAAACCCAAGGUUGCCCCCACAUUUAAUAAAAGGAGUUUUAUUAAAAGGAAGACGAACCUUUUUUAAAUUGGGGUUAAAACGAAGACUUAGCAAAACCACAAAAACAAAUUAGGAGGGGAGAGAGGGGGGACUACUAUCGCUCUACGACUCGGUGAUCACUCGAAGCACAACACUCCAAACACCACACGCGACAGACGAUGCAAGAUGCCAUGCAUGAUGCGAUGAUGCAACUACAUGAUGAUGCAACAAGUAAAAAUACCCACACGACGGAAACGUAAAGGACAAGGGGAAUCUUCUGGGGCGUCGGUCUCGGGCUGUCACAACUCUCCUACACUACAAGAGGAUCUCGCCCCGAGAUCCAAGAAUGAAAGGGGGGAGAGGAAGAGAAAGAACAAGAGGUAAAAAUUUAGUCGCUUCUUUGACAAACGAGUGAAACCAACGAUCCUUGAAGGUUGCAAAGAGAUGAGGAAUGAUAUGGGAAAGAAGCAAGAAUUCACGGAAAAUUUCGGCAGCACUUCGGUAGGAAAAUGGGACAAAAAAUUCGAUAAGAAGAGAGAAAUAGACAAUAUUCACAACCAACAACUAGAUAGAACAGGGGAACACCAUGAACUUGAUAGAACAACAUAAUAGACCCAAAAGAGCAACAUCACAAGGCCUCCGGAACAAGAGAAUAGGAACUAGCUCAAGCGGAAGAAGAGAAUGAAGAAAAAGAAUGACAACUAUCAUCACAAUAGAAUUUAAGAGCCUCCGGACAAAGAAUUGACAGAGUAGUUGGAAAACCAACAACGAAAAGAACAAGAUAGUAGUGGGCUUAUGAAAAUCAUCUCAACAAAUAUGAGGCGACAAACAACCACUAAAAGAAACAAGGAUAGAUUGGGAGCAACAAGAUAUGAACAAUCUUACACCAAGAGGAUGCAUUGAGAACUUAGAUUAAAGAAAAGCACCAUGAUAGCACAAUCCAUAGAAAAAGCUUUAGGUGAAAUCCAAACCAAGAUAGCUCAAUGAAGAAACCAUGAGUUAAGAAUAAUCUCAUGAUCAAAGGAUUGGUGGAUUUAAUUAUCUCAUUCUAGAAAGGAAAUCUCUUCGAGGCUCCUACACUAACAAGAAUGCUAUAAUACCACCUCAAAGGAUAAAGGAAGAACAAUUACACAUAGAAAUGCAAGAGAAAGGAUACUUGAGGUUCUCCAACAAGAAUCUUGAAGAAUACUUGAGAAUGAAUUGAAACCUUGAUGAACCACCAAGAAGUACCUCCGUAUACGAAUGAAUGAUGCAAAGAUAUCAAGGUAGAAAGAAUAAGAUUAUGAGCUUGCCAAGAUUUAGAUGAAGCCUCACAAAGAGAUACUUAAUAGAACUUGGAACUCUGGAAAAAGAAUUCAGAUUACUAUGAACAAGAAUAAGAAUUAUGUUAUGCUAAUCCUUCACCAAGUUUAAUUGAUGACAAGCAACGGAUUUAGCAUACAACUUAUUCCUCUUGAAAGAAACUUGAAGAGACAGAGAGAUAAGCACCACUUGAGGCAAAAAUUGACGGAAAGCACCGGUAAGAAUCCACAAUUGAAUGGGAAAACCAAGAAUUAAUGGAGAUACAUGAGAACGAACAGAUCAUGAGUCACCUGAGAGAAAACUAGAACAAGGCACCAGAAUAACCAAGAGACGAACGAAGAGACAACAAUGGAGAAGAAUUGAGGAUGAACGCUGAAAGCUGAGAACGAAUAAUCUUGUGAAAUGAUGGCCUUCGGAGGAUCGAGAAUGACAACAACUCAGAGAAGCACCGGAUAGCAAGAACGGGAUACUCAUGAUUGGAACAAUUAAGAUGAUGGCACCAAGCUGAAAUGAUUAAUCUCCAAGAGAAUGAACCAAGAUUGAGAGAAACACGGAGAAAAUGACGAGAAGAACCUCACCAAGAAUACUGAGACACUCCGGAAUAAGGAAGAAUGAAAGGUUGAGCCAAAUAUGAGAAAUAAUUCAAAUGGAUCUUGGAGAAUGGCUAUGACUGAUGAAAUCCAUACUUACGUCAAAGCUGAAAAGAAUUAAUGAUCUCCGGGAAAAGAUUAAAAGAGCUAGGAAAGAUCCUGGGAAGGAACCUGUGGGUUAUGGGCCCACUCAAAGAAAUCACCGUUGAAAAGAUUGCUAUAAUGGGAGAUAUUGCACCGGUACAAGAAAACUAGAUGAGGUUGAGAACCUCGAAAUAAUUAAAGAAUUGAAAACAAGAAACUCUGAGAUAUCUUCAACACUCCAGAUAGGAUAGAUAGAAAAGAAAACAAGAUAGGCUGACAAGAAACUCCAACAUAGGAAGAAUUACAAGGAUGAAUAGGAUAUGAUGAACACAGACAACUGAAUUAAAUUCACCGGAAAGAUGACAAGAAUGAAUAAAGAGGAACAUGAAUCUCCUGAGAAUCUUCACAAUGAACCACCGGUUACGAAAGGAAGAAAAGAUAGCGGAAGCAUCACUGAAAUGAAAUGCAGUUGGAUGAAAUCCAAUCACUGAAGAAAAAGGGCGGGAGGGCGGGGAAAAACAAAGACAACAUGGGACAGAUGAGAAGAACUCCGGAAAGAAUUGAGAGAAUGAUCUGCAAAAAUUAGAGAGGAUUGAAUCCACUUGGAGAGAAACACAUCGGUUGAAAAAGAAUUGAUAUGGCGACUCCGGUUGACAAAAUUGAUAAGACAACUGAUUGAGCAAAAGAAUUUGCAUUCUCACAUGAAAAUAUGAGAACACCUCUUAGAAAGGAUCUGAAAUCACCACUUGACAUCGAAGCAACUUGAAUUACCAUAUUAAAACAAAACAAAGGGUGAGGCUUAUGAAACAAGCCAGAACAAACUCAUGAGAAAGAUUUCGUGCGAUAUUUUCGUGAACAGGAAUCCACUAGAUGUCGAACCCCAACCUAACAUCAUGUAUUUGUUGGAAGAUUGUCCUAUAAGCAACUACUUGAAUUCUCACCUAUGAAUUCCCGAAAUAUCUGGUCAUGCAAUCUGGUACACGGAUACAAGGAGUAAUGUCACACAACUCCUAUACUAACCCGUCACCUGUAUCACAUCCGUCAACACACAACCAGAAUCUCGGACCUUCAUCUACAACAGACCCACGUGAUCACAACGAUACAAAGUAUGGUAGUACUCCCGAACAAUCUGCACCAGUACUGGGGACAUCGGGGUUAUCUCGCCACUACUAGUAUUGAAGCAAUUACGAACAUCCUUCGUACUGAGAUAUUAAGAAACCAGAAUGAUAACGAUGUGCUCGAGAAUCCCCUGGAGCUCAACUCCCCUAAGACUUAGAGCAGAUAGGAGGCACCAAGACAGAAUUCCGUCACAUCGGCAUCAUAUAGAUUCCAAAAAUAUCCGUGUGAUCCUAAAAAAAAUUUGAGUGAGAAGAGGAGUAGAAUAAAUUAUUACGUCAAGAUUCCUCACCAGAGCAUAGAAGAGGAGAAAAAAGAAUCCUACUCUCCGAUAUAUAACUAGACUCAAAGCAGUUUUUCACUAGACUCGACUCGGCCAAGUUCGAUCAAUCAAGGGGGCUCCUAGGUCGGUACUGCUCUGAUACCAACUUUUCACGCCCAAGAUGCGACCCUAUCCUCAAUUUGGCACGAGGGCCUCGUCAGGGAUAGAAUCGCAUCUCGUAGUGUCGCAAGAAUGGAUAUCGUUACAAGUACAUGUACUGAAAAGAAGAGAUAUAUAUAGAGUUGGCUUACACUCGCCACAAGCUACAUCAGAGUCACAUCAAUACAUUACAUAUUCAUCAAGAGUAAGAGCAGGGUCCGACUACGGACGAAAACAAACGACAAAAGAAGAACGACGUCCAUCCUUGCUAUCCCAGGCUGCCGGCCUGGAACCCAUCCUAGAUCGAUGAAGAAGAAGAAGAAUAAGAAGCAACUCCAAAUGAACAAUCAACGCGCUCGCGUCAAGUAACCUUUACCUGUACCUGCAACUGGUGUUGUAGUAAUCUGUGAGCCACAGGGGACUCAACAAUCUCAUUUCCAAACGUAUCAAGACUAGCAAAGCUUAAUGGGUGAGGUAUGGUUAAGUGGUGAGGUUGCAGGAGCGGCUAAGCAUAUAUAUAUGAUGGCUAACUUACGAGUACAAGAAAUAAGAGAGGGAAGAUCUACGCAUAACGGACAUGAACUACUCAUGAUCAAAGGAAUGAUCCUGAACACCUACCUACGCCAGACAUAACCCCACCCUGUCCUCGAUCGGAGAAGGAACUCACGAAAGAGACAGUCACGGUUACGCACACAGUUGGCAUAUUUUAAUUAAGUUAACUUCAAGUUAUCUAGAACCAGU